rnacentral:rRNA from 1 species
GAGACCCACGCCAACAGUUGCCAGCUCGUCCUCCGGGAUGGUGGGGACACUGUUGGGACCGCCUCUGCUAAAGAGGAGGAAGGAAUGGGCAACGGUAGGUCAGCAUGCCCCGAAUUAUCUGGGCUACACGCGGGCUACAAUGGGUGGGACAAUGGGUAUCGACACCGAAAGGUGAAGGCAAUCUCCUAAACCCAUCCGUAGUUCGGAUUGUGGGCUGCAACUCGCCCACAUGAAGCUGGAAUCUGUAGUAAUCGUGUCUCAAAAUGGCACGGUGAAUAU